UACGUAGGGUGCAAGCGUUAAUCGGAAUUACUGGGCGUAAAGCGUGCGCAGGCGGCUUUGCAAGACAGAUGUGAAAUCCCCGGGCUUAACCUGGGAACUGCAUUUGUGACUGCAUGGCUGGAGUGCGGCAGAGGGGGAUGGAAUUCCGCGUGUAGCAGUGAAAUGCGUAGAUAUCGAGAGGAACACCAGUGGCGAAGGCGAGUCCCUGGACAACUCCUGACGCUGAGGCACGAAAGCUAGGGGAGCAAACAGG
rnacentral:rRNA from 1 species